rnacentral:rRNA from 1 species
ACCUAAUAGAUACCCAGGUAGUCCACGCCCUAAACGAUGCGAACUGGAUGUUGGGUACAUUACGGUACUCAGUGUCGAAAGCUAAACGCGUUAAGUUCGCCGCCUGGGGAGUACGGUCGCAAGACUGAAACUCAAAGGAAUUGACGGGGGCCCGCACAAGCGGUGGAGUAUGUGGUUUAAUUCGAUGCAACGCGAAGAACCUUACCUGGCCUUGACAUCUGUCGAAUCCUGCAGAGAUGCGGGAGUGCCGCAAGGAACGACAAGACAGGUGCUGCAUGGCUGUCGUCAGCUCGUGUCGUGAGAUGUUGGGUUAAGUCCCGCAACGAGCGCAACCCUUGUCCCUAGUUGCCAACACGUAAUGGUGGGAACUCUAGGGAGACUGCCGGUGAC